rnacentral:rRNA from 1 species
GCCUACGGGACGCAGCAGUGGGGAAUAUUGCACAAUGGGGGAAACCCUGAUGCAGCGACGCCACGUGAGCGAAGAAGUAUUUCGGUGUGUAAAGCUCUAUCAGCAGGGAAGAAAAAUGACGGUACCUGAGUAAGAAGCACCGGCUAAAUACGUGCCAGCAGCCGCGGUAAUACGUAUGGUGCAAGCGUUAUCCGGAUUUACUGGGUGUAAAGGGAGCGCAGGCGGUGCGGCAAGUCUGAUGUGAAAGCCCGGGGCUCAACCCCGGGACUGCAUUGGAAACUACUGAACUAGAGUGGCGGGGAGGG